rnacentral:rRNA from 1 species
AACGAACGCUGGCGGCAUGCCUAACACAUGCAAGUCGAACGAGACCUUCGGGUCUAGUGGCGCACGGGUGCGUAACACGUGGGAAUCUGCCCUUUGCUUCGGAAUAACAGUUAGAAAUGACUGCUAAUACCGGAUGAUGUCGAAAGACCAAAGAUUUAUCGGCAAAGGAUGAGCCCGCGUAGGAUUAGGUAGUUGGUGGGGUAAAGGCCUACCAAGCCGACGAUCCUUAGCUGGUCUGAGAGGACGAUCAGCCACACUGGGACUGAGACACGGCCCAG